UGUUCAUCACUAAUUCUCAAUCAGCACUUAGUUAAUCACUUAAUUACUUGAAUGCAAGGUUUUAAAACUUACAGGGUUUAAAUCAAGGCAAUCUGUUUACUCAAACGGUUUGAGUUAAGUUAACUUGUCGGGUUUUACAGUGCAACAACUGCGACAGAUUUGCUAAGUAACACGUUAAUAUCAUCCACAGUCUACUUUAAGUACUUUUUGUUAAUAUUUAUACCUCUGUGAUUAUGGUAUUUUUCCUGAAAUGUCUGCUAUCAAGUAUUACGCUAGCAUAGAAACAUAAUUAACGUUAUAGCAUAUUAGAUUUGAGCCCUUAUUAAUGAAAGUUUGGCCUUUUAAUUACAUCUUAUGCGUAAAGGAUCGGUUUUGAUCGUUUUGUAAAUGUUUUUGAUGGUAAUUUGUCAAUAGAUAAAUGAAGUAAAGUUAAGCUAAUUAAUUUAACCUAAAAAUCUGCACUGUAGAGUCUAUCAGUGACGUCACUCGCGGUCUAAAAUGGGCUGAAACUAUUUCAAACCACUGUUUCAAGCUUGUUCUGAUUUAUCAUUGUAAACAAAUAUUGAUAAAAAAAUUGUACAGUGAUUUCAGGAGUGUCUUAAAAACCCUCUAAAACAGAGGAGAAGUUCCAAGAAAAUGUCUAACGGGAGCUGCUGACAGAGAUAGAAAACACAUUUUGUUUAUUUCUAAUAAGGAGCUGGAGGCCGUGAAGAUACAGAUCCAUGAUAUUGUGGAGAAGCAGGCCCCGCUGAGCAAGUGGAGAGCUGUGCUGGAAAUAUUCAGGGGUUGAUGCUCAUAAGUCCAGGGUAAGUAUACCGCUAACCCUACUACCACCUCUACUCUGUGUAGUUCUCUGCAAAGGCCCGGUGCACCCAGGACACGAUCUUCCCAGAUGUCCUUCACCCUAUUUCAUAGUGUAAGACAUGAUCCAGGCCCUGGGCGACGACCUCUCUCCAUCCGCCGCCUCCGGUCUUCAGGAUCUCCACCAGAACCCGAUUCGCUCCACUUCGCGAGACAGAACACAACGCUGUGAUCAUCGGAGACUCCAUCGUCCGGCACGUUUGCGCUAUGUUAGCUGAAGGUAAAGUCCACACUGACUACUUCCCUGGUGCUCAUGUUCUUGAUAUUUCUGCACAGAUUCCCGUGAUCCUGAAGAGUGAGGUGGGCAUCAGAGUGGACGGAGACGCUGAAGAGGGACUUCAGGAGCCUGAUCAAGACAGUGCGCAGCAUAUCCCCUGCAUGAUGAUCAUCGUGUCAGGACCACUUCCCACGUAUAGAUGAGGACAUGAAAGGUUCAGCAGACUUUUUGCUUUAAACGAAUGGUUAUAGUCAUGGUGUAAAGAACAGAAACUGCCUUUUGUUAAUAAUUGGAAUCUUUUCUGGGAGCUAGGCUUUUUAGAUCUCCUGUUGGACAACAUCUCCAGGACACUUCGCUCCAUAUGACUAGGCAGUUUGUGAAAAGAGAUAAUCAAGAGAAGUCAGUUCCAGAUCCACCCUCCACACCAGACCUCUCUCUCACGAGGAUCGCUGUCUACAAGCAUAUUGUGUUCUUCAGCUCUUCAGACUUCGGUGGAUGCAGUUAUUACUCAGGGACAUGAACACUAGAAUAUUGCAAGAAUAGAGAAAGUAAGAAUUACUUAAGAUUUUAGAAUUUAAUGUUAAUUGCUUAAACAUAUACAGUAUUGUUCAAAAUAAUAGCAGUACAAUGUGACUAACCAGAAUAAUCAAGGUUUUUAGUAUAUUUUUUAUUGCUACGUGGCAAACAAGUUACCAGUAGGUUCAGUAGAUUGUCAGAAAACAAACAAGACCCAGCAUUCAUGAUAUGCACGCUCUUAAGGCUGUGCAAUUGGGCAAUUAGUUGAAAGGGGUGUGUUCAAAAAAAUAGCAGUGUCUACCUUUGACUGUACAAACUCAAAACUAUUUUGUACAAACAUUUUUUUUUUUCUGGGAUUUAGCAAUCCUGUGAAUCACUAAACUAAUAUUUAGUUGUAUGACCACAGUUUUUUAAAACUGCUUGACAUCUGUGUGGCAUGGAGUCAACCAACUUGUGGCACCUCUCAGCUGUUAUUCCACUCCAUGAUUCUUUAACAACAUUCCACAAUUCAUUCACAUUUCUUGGUUUUGCUUCAGAAACAGCAUUUUUGAUAUCACCCCACAAGUUCUCAAUUGGAUUAAGGUCUGGAGAUUGGGCUGGCCACUCCAUAACAUUAAUUUUGUUGGUUUGGAACCAAGACUUUGCCCGUUUACUAGUGUGUUUUGGGUCAUUGUCUUGUUGAAACAACCAUUUCAAGGGCAUGUCCUCUUCAGCAUAGGGCAACAUGACCUCUUCAAGUAUUUUAACAUAUGCAAACUGAUCCAUGAUCCCUGGUAUGCGAUAAAUAGGCCCAACACCAUAGUAGGAGAAACAUGCCCAUAUCAUGAUGCUUGCACCUCCAUGCUUCACUGUCUUCACUGUGUACUGUGGCUUGAAUUCAGAGUUUGGGGGUCGUCUCACAAACUGCCUGUGGCCCUUGGACCCAAAAAGAACAAUUUUACUCUCAUCAGUCCACAAAAUGUUCCUCCAUUUCUCUUUAGGCCAGUUGAUGUGUUCUUUGGCAAAUUGUAACCUCUUCUGCACAUGCCUUUUUUUUAACAGAGGGACUUUGCGGGGGAUUCUUGAAAAUAGAUUAGCUUCACACAGACGUCUUCUAACUGUCACAGUACUUACAGGUAACUCCAGACUGUCUUUGAUCAUCCUGGAGGUGAUCAUUGGCUGAGCCUUUGCCAUUCUGGUUAUUCUUCUAUCCAUUUUGAUGGUUGUCUUCCGUUUUCUUCCACGUCUCUCUGGUUUUGCUCUCCAUUUUAAGGCAUUGGAGAUCAUUUUAGCUGAACAGCCUAUCAUUUUUUGCACCUUUUUAUAGGUUUUCCCCUCUCUAAUCAACUUUUUAAUCAAAGUACGCUGUUCUUCUGAACAAUGUCUUGAACGACCCAUUUUCCUCAGCUUUCAAAUGCAUGUUCAACAAGUGUUGGCUUCAUCCUUAAAUAGGGGCCACCUGAUUCACACCUGUUUCUUCACAAAAUUGAUGACCUCAGUGAUUGAAUGCCACACUGCUAUUUUUUUGAACACACACCUUUCAACUAAUUCAACUAAUUGCCCAAUUGCACAGCCUUAAGAGCGUGCAUAUCAUGAAUGCUGGGUCUCAUUUGUUUUCUGAGAAUCUACUGAACCUACUGGUAACUUGUUUGCCACGUAGCAAUAAAAAAAUAUACGAAAAACCUUGAUUAUUCUGGUUAGUCACAUUGUACUGCUAUUAUUUUGAACAAUACUGUAUAUAUUUAGAUAUAUUUUUGUGGCAGUGUGAACUGGCCAUAAUGCUGUAUGAUAGGUGUGAGAUUCAUUAAACUUGAUUUGCUAUAAUACAUCUGUUCAUAAGCUAUUGCAUAUUAUUUUCAAUGAAUUAUUUGUAGUGGUUUGGUUAAGGGUGUGAUUAGCUGAAGAUUAUUGUGGGAUCUUGUGAUUAGUUGAUGAAUGUGUGCAUUGUUAAUGAUAAUAUUUAAAUGCAAUGUACUGAGUGCCUACUAAGACUUGCAUGUUGUGCAUAAUGUUUUGACCCUGGAUGCUUACAGAAGGGUAUAGAUAUUUCAAUAUAUGGAAAUGUAUUUAUUAUUAAUAUAUCUCAAUCUAUGUGCUUCUGUAUGGGCUGAAUGCUUUCAUUCAUAUUUCGCUGAAUAUCCUGUUUUUAUUAAUAAUCUGGGUGUAUUACUGUUCAUAU